rnacentral:tRNA from 1 species
GGUGAUGUGGCCGAAAGGCGAGGCGCUGGCCUGCAAAGUCAGUUCAUGCGGGUUCGAAUCCCGUCGUCACCU